GGGAAGGGAAGGGAAGGGAAGGGAAGGGAAGGGGCUGCAGCACACACCACCGGUGCCACCGCGGCUCCAGCAGCAGCAGCACGGCCGCAGCCGCCAGCGCGGUGCAAUCGCAACGCGACGCCCCCCGGCUCGCCGCCCCGCGCCUGUCACCCCCCCUUCCCCUUCCUUCCCAUUUCCCUUCCCCUUCCCUUCUUCCCCUUCCCCUCCCCAAACCUCCCUCUCUAUCCCGGGCCCUCCCCGGGCGGCGCUCCCGGUGCGCAGCGGCCCUGCCGACGGAGCGCAUUAAAAAAAAACAAAAACCCUUUUCCUCCCCGCUGACCCCCCCACGGUUCCUCCCCGGUGUCCCCCCCGGCUGCAGCAGCCUCUUACCGGGCGGGCCGUGCCCCGCUGCGUCUCAGCGGCGGCGCUGGGCGGGGGUGGCCCCGGCGGCCAUCCCCGGGCGGCCGCGCCGCUGUCCGCCGCCGUGCGAGCCGCCUCGGCGGUGUCAGCGGGCGGGAGCCCCGCGCGGCGCCGGGAGGGAGGGGAGGAAAGUCGGGGGCAUGACCGAGCGCCGUCGGAAGUGCAUUCGUUGCCCGUCGCCCUCCCCGCGACGGCGGCGACAUCUGCCGGCGGGGAGCGCGCACCGCGAGGCGCGCACCGGGCUGCGCGCAAAAAGAAAGGGGUGCCCCAUUUCCGAAGGAAACCCACCUGAAGGCACUCCCUGCACUGGGAGUCCUGCCAUCUCCUUGCGCUCGGGGACUUGGAAAUGCUCCUGAGCCAAACCACAGCUUGCUGAGCCACAGCAUCCCAUUAAACCUGACAGCAAGCAUCCUUCACCGGCCUGCUGCAUGCAUGCACUGCUGACCUGCGGACAAUCAGCAAGGAAAAGGCACAAAAACCUUUGGUGCAGCUGCAGCAGAUGCCUGCAGAAGCCACGGCGGCUGCACAAACCCCACGCACCGUCGAUCCUCCCUCCAGCAGGGCAGCUCCUCGCCCCUCUCCCUGAUGACUUUAAGCGCUCUCUACCCACGCAGGCACUCUGCAAGUCCACAUUCAUCGAGGCUGACCCCUCGGGGCUGUGAUGGGAUUUAAAAGGCCGCUGGGAGGCUUCCAGCUGAGAAGGGACUCGGGAACGCGGAGGGCAGUGCCCUCUUCCUUAGCUCAGCGCUCGGAAACAGAGCGCGGGAUAAAAGGCACGCCACGGGGAGAAGGGGAGGGAUGGGGACACAAAGGGAGAUCCAGCCCUGCAGAAAGCCCUCUUUGUCUCCUGCACAGCUGCUAGGAUAUUUCCAAGAGGCAGGACGGAGGCCGGUGCGUGGUGGGGCCCUGCUGUUGCAAACACCCCCGGCCCUAUAACGGGGGAAAACAUCCCCUCAACAGGGGAUUUGGCAGUGGGAGCAGCAUGGGGGUCCUGUACCCCUGCCCCAAAUGCAGCCCCCCUCUCCUGAAGUGCAGGGUGCCCCCCAGUGUGGGGUGACAGGACGGGUAUGUUUGUGACAACCCCGCUCUCCCCCAUGAAUGCUGACUUUUAGCUCUUACCCAGUGAUUUCAGUUCCUGCCCCAUAUUCUUCUCCUAACAAUUUUAAAAGAAACUCAGAGUCAGCAAUUUCAGCUCCUGCCUCGUGUUUCCCUCCAAAAGCUUUAUUAUUCAGCUCCUCUUCGUUUCAGGUCCAGCUCUUCUUUCUCAGCUCCUUUCCCACAAUUUUACCUUUUCC
ensembl:lncRNA